rnacentral:rRNA from 1 species
CGCAUCUGUGCAUGCAGCAUAUCAAUAAGCGGAGGAAAAGAAACUAACAAGGAUUCCCUCAGUAACGGCGAGUGAAGCGGGAAGAGCUCAAAUUUGAAAUCUUGAAAGGUCACCUUUCACGAAUUGUAGUUUAAAGAAGUGUUUUCUGUUACGAUCGUAAUAUAAGUUCUUUGGAAUAGGACAUCACAGAGGGUGAGAAUCCCGUCUAUGAUUGCGAUUUGUAGCUUUGUGAUACACUUUCAAAGAGUCGGGUUGUUUGGGAAUGCAGCCCAAAACGGGAGGUAAAUUUCUUCUAAGGCUAAAUAUUGGCGAGAGACCGAUAGCGAACAAGUACCGUGAGGGAAAGAUGAAAAGAACUUUGAAAAGAGAGUUAAAUAGUACGUGAAAUUGUCAAAAGGGAAGCGUUUAACACCAGUGUUGUUUUCUCGAAAAUCAAUUAAAAAUGGCUCGAUUUUGUAUUGCUUGAGACCUUAAAAGCUCACUGUACAUUUUUCGUGUCUUUUUUAAUGCACUUUUCGUUUAACAAGUCAACAUCAGUUUCUUUUGUUGUAAAAGGGUCAUUGGAAGGUGGCUUUCUUUUCGGAGAAAGUGUUUAUAGCCUUUGGCCUCUGCAAUCGAAGAGACUGAGGUCUGCAGCGUAGACUCUUCGGGGUUAGAUACAUUUGUGCUAAGUUAUAGCUUUUUAUAGACAACUUGUUGACUAUAAUUAGUCUUGUAGCUUACUCGCUUAUGCUAUUUUACCUACGCUUAGGAUGUUGACGAUCAGCUGAGCGCG